rnacentral:misc_RNA from 1 species
GAUGAAGAACGUAGCGAAAUGCGAUAGGUAGUGUGAAUUGCAGAAUUCAGUGAAUCAUCGAAUCUUUGAACGCACAUUGCGCCCCUUGGUAUCCCGAGGGGCAUGCCUGUUCGAGCGUCAUUUCACCACUCAAGCCUGGCUUGGUGUUGGGCGACGUCCCCUUUGGGGACGCGCCUCGAAACGCUCGGCGGCGUGGCACCGGCUUUAAGCGUAGCAGAAUCUUUCGCUUUGGAAGUCGGGGCCCCGUCUGCCGGAAGACCUACUCGCAAGGUUGACCUCGGAUCAGGCAGGGAUACCCGCUGAACUUAAGCAUAUCAAUAAGCGGAGGA